rnacentral:rRNA from 1 species
AACGAACGCUGGCGGCAGGCUUAACACAUGCAAGUCGAGCGAGACCUUCGGGUCUAGCGGCGGACGGGUGAGUAACGCGUGGGAACGUGCCCUUCUCUACGGAAUAGCCCCGGGAAACUGGGAGUAAUACCGUAUACGCCCUUUGGGGGAAAGAUUUAUCGGAGAAGGAUCGGCCCGCGUUGGAUUAGGUAGUUGGUGGGGUAAUGGCCCACCAAGCCGACGAUCCAUAGCUGGUUUGAGAGGAUGAUCAGCCACACUGGGACUGAGACACGGCCCAGACUCCUACGGGAGGCAGCAGUGGGGAAUCUUAGACAAUGGGGGCAACCCUGAUCUAGCCAUGCCGCGUGAGUGAUGAAGGCCUUAGGGUUGUAAAGCUCUUUCAGCUGGGAAGAUAAUGACGGUAUCAGCAGAAGAAGCCCCGGCUAACUCCGUG